CAAGAUUAAAUUAUGUUAUACUGUACUAUGGUGAUUAUCCCUUAACAAAUUUCAUUACCACAAUAUCUAUGUUCUUCCCAGACUCGGUUUCAGGAAGUUUCUCAGGGUGUUCUCCGUAUGGCUCUCUUGCUAAUGCUUAAGCUCACAUUUGCAGCAAUUUCUUCAGCUUGAUGGGUGCUACUGCUUAAGGGUCUAUUCAGGCUUUGGAUAUGAUAAUAAGUUCCAGAACGUGGCUGCGUAUGUCAGGCUUGCGGUUGUUACAUAUAAUUAUAGUUUUGUCUUCAAAUGUUGCUUUCUAAGGUUAUCAGCGCUCGAAGAAUUGGUAUAACAGAAUUCAGUGUCAAGCUUGCUGCUGUUAUAUUUAGGUUGGAUGGAGCAUCGAGCAUUUCUUCCUUGAGAUGAUUAACAGAUCGUCAUGUGCAUUACUGUCCACAGCUUUACUCUAAAUUGGUUACCCUUUGAGCACUAAAGUGCAUCCUUCAUAUUUUCUCCGAGGUUCGUUUUCUUGGAUAACCAUGUGUAUGUUCUUGGUUAACCAUGGAUCAUAUUUUCUCAUAGUUGGUUCCUCUGUUUACUCAUAAUAGUGUAGCCUUCUAGAU